rnacentral:rRNA from 1 species
GAGGGGCAAGCCUAUACAUGCAAGUCGAGCGAAUGGAUUAAGAGCUUGCUCUUAUGAAGUUAGCGGCGGACGGGUGAGUAACACGUGGGUAACCUGCCCAUAAGACUGGGAUAACUCCGGGAAACCGGGGCUAAUACCGGAUAACAUUUUGAACUGCAUGGUUCGAAAUUGAAAGGCGGCUUCGGCUGUCACUUAUGGAUGGACCCGCGUCGCAUUAGCUAGUUGGUGAGGUAACGGCUCACCAAGGCAACGAUGCGUAGCCGACCUGAGAGGGUGAUCGGCCACACUGGGACUGAGACACGGCCCAGACUCCUACGGGAGGCAGCAGUAGGGAAUCUUCCGCAAUGGACGAAAGUCUGACGGAGCAACGCCGCGUGAGUGAUGAAGGCUUUCGGGUCGUAAAACUCUGUUGUUAGGGAAGAACAAGUGCUAGUUGAAUAAGCUGGCACCUUGACGGUACCUAACCAGAAAGCCACGGCUAACUACGUGCCAGCAGCCGCGGUAAUACGUAGGUGGCAAGCGUUAUCCGGAAUUAUUGGGCGUAAAGCGCGCGCAGGUGGUUUCUUAAGUCUGAUGUGAAAGCCCACGGCUCAACCGUGGAGGGUCAUUGGAAACUGGGAGACUUGAGUGCAGAAGAGGAAAGUGGAAUUCCAUGUGUAGCGGUGAAAUGCGUAGAGAUAUGGAGGAACACCAGUGGCGAAGGCGACUUUCUGGUCUGUAACUGACACUGAGGCGCGAAAGCAUUCACAGCAACAACG